rnacentral:RNase_P_RNA from 1 species
UGAGGAAGACAGGCAAUCGCGAGUCGUGAGAUUCGAGGAAAGUCCGGACUCCACAGAGCAGAAUGCUGGCUAACGGCCAGUGAGGGUGACCUUAAGGAAAGUGCAACAGAAACAAUACCGCCGGGUUGGCCAGAUAUGCAGGCCCCGGUAAGGGCGAAAUGGUGAGGUAAGAGCUCACCAGCAGGCGGGCGACCGUCUGGCUGGGUAAACCCCAUUUGGAGCAAGACCAAAUAGAGGGAAGAGUCUGCCGGUUCUGCUGGUAGACUGACGGGCUGCUCGUCCGUUAACCUUCGGGUUGGUUGCUUGAGACGUUGGGUAACUGGCGUCCUAGAUAGAUGAUUGCCGCCUGGAGUCGCGAGAGAGGCUCCGGGUACAGAAUUCGGCUUACGGCUUGCUCAACUC